AUCGAACGCUGGCGGCAUGCCUUACGCAUGCAAGUCGAACGGUAACAGGUCUUCGGAUGCUGACGAGUGGCGAACGGGUGAGUAAUACAUCGGAACGUGCCCGAGAGUGGGGGAUAACGAGGCGAAAGCUUUGCUAAUACCGCAUACGAUCUCAGGAUGAAAGCAGGGGACCGCAAGGCCUUGCGCUCACGGAGCGGCCGAUGGCAGAUUAGGUAGUUGGUGGGAUAAAAGCUUACCAAGCCGACGAUCUGUAGCUGGUCUGAGAGGACGACCAGCCACACUGGGACUGAGACACGGCCCAGACUCCUACGGGAGGCAGCAGUGGGGAAUUUUGGACAAUGGGCGCAAGCCUGAUCCAGCCAUGCCGCGUGCAGGAUGAAGGCCUUCGGGUUGUAAACUGCUUUUGUACGGAACGAAAAGACUCUGGUUAAUACCUGGGGUCCAUGACGGUACCGUAAGAAUAAGCACCGGCUAACUACGUGCCAGCCGCCGCGGUAAGAC
rnacentral:rRNA from 1 species